rnacentral:rRNA from 1 species
CCUACGGGUGACAGCAGUGGGGAAUAUUGCACAAUGGGGGAAACCCUGAUGCAGCGACGCCGCGUGAGUGAAGAAGUAUUUCGGUAUGUAAAGCUCUAUCAGCAGGGAAGAAGCAAGACGGUACCUGACUAAGAAGCCCCGGCUAACUACGUGCCAGCAGCCGCGGUAAUAAGGAGGGGGCGAGCGUUAUCCGGGUUUACGGGGUGGAAAGGGAGCGUAGACGGUAUGGCAAGUCUGAAGUGAAAGUCCAGGGCUUAACCCUGGGACUGCUGUGGAAACUGUUAGACUAGAGUGCUGGAGAGGUAAGCGGAAUUCCUAGGGUAGCGGUGAAAUGCGUAGAUAUUACGAGGAACACCAGUUGCGAAGGCGACUUACUGGACAGUAACUGACGUUGAGGCUCGAAAGCGUGGGGAGCAAACAGGAUUAGAUACCCUAGUAGUC